GACGAACGCUGGCGGCGUGCCUAAUACAUGCAAGUUGAGCGCUGAAGGUUGGUACUUGUACCAACUGGAUGAGCAGCGAACGGGUGAGUAACGCGUGGGGAAUCUGCCUUUGAGCGGGGGACAACAUUUGGAAACGAAUGCUAAUACCGCAUAAAAACUUUAAACACAAGUUUUAAGUUUGAAAGAUGCAAUUGCAUCACUCAAAGAUGAUCCCGCGUUGUAUUAGCUAGUUGGUGAGGUAAAGGCUCACCAAGGCGAUGAUACAUAGCCGACCCGAGAGGGUGAUCGCCCACAUUGGGACUGGACCACGGCCAAAACCCCUACGGGAGGGAGCAGUAGGGAAUUUUGGGCAAUGGAGGAAAGUUUGACCGAGCACAGCCGCGGGAGUGAAAAAGGUUUUCGGAUCGGAAAACUCUGUUGGUAGGGAAAAACUUUGGUGAGAGUGGAAAGCCCAGCAAGGGACGGAAACUACCCAAAAAGGGACGGCAAAAUACGG
rnacentral:rRNA from 1 species